rnacentral:lncRNA from 1 species
AUGUUCCAGAAGUAUUCUCUCCUGACGUUUCACCCACAUUUAUGGCAGGCAUCCUCAGAGGUUGUGAGGUAUGGAGAAACUCAGCAAGGAAAGGAAAGAAUAUAUAUCUGUGUAGAGUCCAGGGUGUGGCAAGAGUCCUUUGUCACUGGGAAGCCAGCAUUAAUGUUUCAGUUAAUCACCCUAAUUAGCAUUGGAAAUUUAUCCAUACCUCACAACCUCUGAGGAUGCCUGCCAUAGAUGUGGGCGAAACGUCAGGAGGGAAUACUUCUGGAACAUGGCCACACAGCCCGAAAGACAUACAACAACUCUGUGAUCUCGGCCAUGAAAGCCUUCGACAACACAAUUGAAGCAUUACUUGCCCCUCUUGGGGAUGGAAUAAAAAGCAUGUGCUCCCACCAAUAGUGCAUCCCAUGGAGUGUGGUGAUUAUUAGGAGAGGACAGCAGGUGUGAGAGGAGGAAUUUAAUCUUCCCUUCCUUGCUUAAGCCUUGACGAGAAAAUCUAUUCUUUGAAGUUGCAUUUGCAAUGCUGCCUGUAGAUUUUUCUCCUCCAGAAUGCAAAUAGCAGGUUCAGAGAAGGGAUUUUCCAUACCUUGGGGCCAGUUUACUCAUUAGUUAUUCACCACUUCAUGACUUCAGAACUAAAUGCACAAAUUAUUCCUUUUUCGGCUUAAGAAUUAAAUGAUCAGAUCAAAUAAUAAAAGGGUUUCCAUACCUCAACCCAAUAAUCCCUGUUCAUUAGGCCUGUGUGAUCAAUGAAAAAAAUGUUUCAAUACUCAUUACAAAAUUAGGGUGAGGAAAAGCAUGAGGGAAGUGUUGUGUUUAUGAUGGGGUUAGUAGGACAACUGAGAAAAACUACAGCCACAGCUUAACCAUACCUCAAGUGGAGGGGAAAAAAAAGCAAUGGACAAGAAAAAUACAGAUUGGGGAUAGCUUUAAACGCCACUACAACUAGCAACAAACCAUAUCCAGAAUGGAUUUUAGGGAGCCUCUGGAUUUCCCUUAUUUUAAACAACUUA